rnacentral:lncRNA from 1 species
GGCGUCCCAACGGACGAGGGUUGCAAUCAACCCCUCUCAAGCGGUCCAAGGACCCACUUGAAUACCACGGUGUUUUGCUUUGUAUACUAUACCCCGCUUGCGAGGAAUCUCCACAACUUGGAGUCUCUCGCCCUUACACUUUGAUGUUCACAAAGAAGCACGGAGUAAGGGAGGGAUGAGCAAUGCACACAAGACACAAAAUCAGAGUGACAACACGCACACAAGUCGCAACAAGAGCUCACAACACAACCCGACGAGUUCACAACUCAAAUAGAGCUCUAGAUGCUAUCACAAAGAAUCAAAUGCGCGGAAUCGAAGUCUUGGUGCUUUGGAAUGCUUAGAGAAUGCU